rnacentral:misc_RNA from 1 species
UUUUGGGAGUGGAUAGGCUCGAUUUACAUCGUUCCUUGGAUGAAGUGAAGAACGAUGGUGCAAAGGUGGCUGACCGUAUCUAUAAGCAGUCUGAUGUCUGGAAGUUAUUCUAGGCUCCUUGGGUCUUUCAUUGGCUGCCUCAAUCUGUUCUAGUUUCUCCACUACUUCUUUCAUUCCUGGUCUGGUUUUUGGUUCAGGUCCAAGACAUGACAGUGCCAGUUGUGCUAUUUGAACUGCAGCUCUGGAUGGAUAUCUUCCUUCCAGCCGCG